GGGGGCGUACUGGUUUCGACAGGGGUAGUUGUGGCAUAGGUAGCGAGUCGGGGUUCCAUUAGCCCGUUAAAACGGUGGACCUUUAAGUAAACGCAAACGAAGAUUACGCUUUAGCAGCUUAAUGCUAACGUCCUACUCUCCUUUGCCUGCGAGGCGGGAUAGGACGUCAAAAAGCAGGAUACCUGAAGCCUUAUUCUCGGUGGGCUGACUGGGAAAAAUAGUCGAGAUAGCUCCGAAGAAGCCUGUCUGUGGGCAUCAACUGAGCGAAAACUAAAACACAGAAUGCGCUCGGAGAAGCCUCUGUGGCAAUACCUUUGGACAGGAGUUCGAUUCUCCUCGCCUCCACCA
rnacentral:tmRNA from 1 species